UACGUAGGGGGCAAGCGUUAUCCGGAUUCACUGGGUGUAAAGGGAGCGUAGACGGCGACGCAAGUCUGGAGUGAAAGCCCGGGGCCCAACCCCGGGACUGCUCUGGAAACUGCGUCGCUGGAGUACGGGAGGGGCAGGCGGAAUUCCUGGUGUAGCGGUGAAAUGCGUAGAUAUCAGGAGGAACACCGGCGGCGAGGGCGGCCUGCUGGACCGUGACUGACGUUGAGGCUCGAGAGCGUGGGGAGCAAACAGG
rnacentral:rRNA from 1 species